rnacentral:tRNA from 1 species
UCCCUGGUGGCCUAGUGGUUAAGGUUUUGGCUUUGUCACCAUUGUGGCUCAGGUUCAAUCCCUGGCCUGGGAA